AAAACACAAGGGAUACAAGUGUUUAGUUUCAGUUUAUUUUAGCUUCUUGAAGACGGGUUAGUUCCUUGCACUUCUUUAAGGUUGGUUUAGGCGAUUAGUUCUAUGCUGCUUUGGAUAGGCUGUUCUAGCUAAGUUUAGGGCCACCUCGUGGAGCAGCAGGCGCCCAGCCCAAAAGGCCCAAAGAAGCCGUGGCAAGGGGCCGUGCUCAGCGCUGCAGAGGAAGGCAAAAAACCCCCGGAGACGCUUGCUGUCCCACCUGGGGGGGAAAAAAAGCCUUCCUCCCCCCAGCUGCGGGGCACGAGAGGCCAUCUUCCUGGUGCUUGAGCAGCAGGCAGGAACCGAGCCAAAAGGGCCCAGAGGAGCUGUGCAAAGUGGUCAUGCUCAAUGCUGCAGAGGAAGGCAAAAAACCCCCGGGGACCCGUGCCAAUCUGCCCCGGGGGAAAAAAUUCCUUCCUGACCCCAGUGCUGGCGAUCGGCUGUUCCCUGAGCAUGUGAGCCAGACCUGGCUCCUUGUCCCACAGGCUGCUCACGCCCCCCAGGACCUGCCCAAGCCAUAGCCUGUCCUACCUUGAGCCGGAGCCAUCUCCCGGACUUCCGAGAGUGCCCAGAUGCCUCUGAGCUGAUGGACCUUGGGGGCAAGACUCCUUCCUGUGCCUGGUGGGACACCAGUGGGUGUUCCAAGCACAGAAGAAAUUCCCUUGGUCUCUCCGCCGCUACCCAGUUGAAAAGGAUUUCCAUCCAUGAGCUGAGCUUGGAAGGUGGCCCUGCCAGCAGAUCACCUUGCAGUGGAGAACCUCCAGCAGCCUCAUGCAAGCUCUUCCUCCCUCAGCCCCUGCCCUGUGAUUCCACCAGCUCCUCAAGUGCUUCCUGUGGGAUGUGUUGGGGCUGCCCCCGGGCCAGCUCUGGCAGUGGACAGGGGACCCGGCUGCUCCUUUUGGUCCUGCUCGGGGCAUUGUGAGCGCUGCAUUGCCGGGUGCUGGCAUUGUGACACGGGGGUGACAGAGCCACGCGUGUGCAGCCCCGCCCACCCCAACUCCGCCCAGCACCCUAUGGAGGAAGCCUUUGGGGUGCUGGCCCCAAAUCAGUCCCUGUCAUCUACAAGACAGGGGAGUAAUCAACCUAACCGUGUCCCUCUUUUGCCAAAACACAGUGUGGAUUUGUUGCCAGUCCAGCCUUACUUCCAGUACUUCUUCCUGCAGCCCUGUUACGAAUUCCUGACCAAACCUGGGAAGAAGAAACAAAAUGCCAGAGAUGAGAUUACUGAAUGCAACAAGAAGACACAACAGAGAUGACGGAGGAAACCAGCAAGAGGGGAAGGAGAGGAGGAGCAGAGGACAGGUAAGCAAACAAGAUCCUUGAAUCUCACCCCAUCCGAGGAGUGAUAGAAGGGUUCCCAAAGCCCAGAUUCUGAAUAAAAAGCAUACCUCGUAAGCUUCUCUCUCCACGUCUCUAAUUUGCUGCUCGGCCUCAGGUCUGCUCUGACAGUAGGCCACAUUUCUCUGCCUCAUUUCAGCAUCUGGAUGCUUCAGAAGAAACGUGUGAGCUGCUGCAAUAGCCUUUGCAAGGUUAUGAGCCUGAAGAGGGAUGGGAAAAAGAGGAAGAGGGGGAAAAGCGUUAACGGGGGAAAAAAAAAAAUCAAAGUUUCCCAGUUUUUGUUGACAAAUUUUCCUGCAGCUUCUAGAUUCCCAGCUUACUUGUACUGAAGCCACGGUCUCGGCAGAUACAAUUGUACACUAGAUCUGAUACAAUUCUUCUCAGUUUUACUAACAGAUGCAUAAUGAGGAAAUUCUUUUUAAUGUUAAAAUCUGUUAUUGUUGCAGAUAGCAUAGGUGAUGACUUGAAGCUAACAGAAGAGCAUUUUUCCCCUCCACUUGCCCUGUUCAUGAAGCUGACAAGGCAGAAGCAUAUACUGUUGCUCCUGUGUGGGAUUAGUCUCACAGCAAUUACUGAGGCCAGCCUGUGACUGCUGACCAGGAGCCAUCACCGCCCGUGUUUACACGGCGUUCGUGUCACUUCUUGGCCCAGCAGCACGCAAGACAAUAUCCCGAUAACGUAUCUGCCUGAUGGUGUUACAGAGUUCGAGCAAACGGCAGGGACCUGUGUGUGAUCUGCCGCAACAGCUUUUGGAAGGUCGUGAGCCUAAACAGGGGUGGGAAGAAGAGGAAAGGGGAAGAAAAAGUUAACUGGGAAAAAAAAAUCCACGUUUCCCACUUUCUGUCAACAAACUCUCCUGCAGCCUCUGUGUUCCCCAGCUGACAUCUAGGGAAGCCACAGUCUCAGCAGAUACAAUGUUACACUAGAACUGAUACAAAUCUUUCCUGUUUUCUUACUAGAGGAGCAUGUUUUCCUAGGAGCAUGUUUGUUUUAAUGUCAAAAUCUGUUAUUGUAGCAGAUCGCAUCAUAAUGAUUGCAAGGUGCAGGUCCCACGGUGUCCUUUGGUCUCCGACGUUCUCCAGUGGCGUCCUGUGGUUUCCAGUGGCGUUCUUCAGUCUCCCACGGUCUCCUGCAAUCUCCGGCGGUCUCCAGCGGGCUUCUGUGUGCAUGCAUUUAUAGCUGUUAUUGUCUAUAUGUACAUAUUUUUCUAAACUCUAUUGUCCAUAGACACACGUAUCGGGAGAAGGAGGGAGAAAACCCAAGUCUUCAUUAUUUGCUGAAAUGUGAAAACCUUUUUCCUUUUUAAACCAAGACACAGAGCCAAUGGUGUCCUGUGGUUUCUAGCGGUGUCCUUCGGUCUCCGACGGUCUCCUGCGGUCUCCGGUGGUCUCGUGUGGGCUUCUGUGUGCACACAUUUAUCGAUUUAAUUUUCUAUUUUUACAUGUCUUUAUAAACUAUACAGUCUGCAUACACGUAUAUAGGGAGAAGGAGAGAAAAUUUGCCUCCGUUUUUAACGCAAACAUUUGUCCAAAGGUGUAAGAACCGUGUCUUUGAAUUCCCACAAUUCCUUCCAACAGACGUUUUAUUUACUUCAAAAGAACCACCUUCAGAGGAGGAAUCCCGCCACGGCACUAUGGGACGAGGAGCAGGAACAGAGGUGACACAGGACCCAUCUCACGUUUGUUUCCACAACUCUCCCCAAGCACAGGAUGUUUCGGAAAGAUGGACCCAAUUGGAAAUCACUCUGCGUGUGAAAUUGGGACCAUGUUUUUGAAACACCCUGUAGUAUUGCUGGAGACACAUCCCCUGGUCCCUCUGCUUCCAAAUUUGCAUGAAGCCUUGUGUCAAGUCCCCAGCUCCAUUCAAGAGAGUCUGGUUAGGCACUGGCAAAACCAGUGUUCGUCCUGUACCAUGUAUGAAUCAAAAUUUGUCGCACACCAUUUUCCCCUUGUAAAAGAAAGGAAAACGAAUAUCCAAAAAAUCCCCAAACGUAUGAAAAUGACCAACCGUACAUCAGUAAAAAGAAAUCAAUAAUUCAAUAAAGAACACUGAUGGUCAACAGAAAACGAAGGGACAAUCCACCGGGUGCUGAUCCAGUGCUCUUUCCCGUGCUGUACUCUUUGCAUUUCACUAGUGGCUUCGCGGUUGUUCCUGUCACCUGCCUGCGCUGACUGGCACAGUCCCUGUCACUGCCCCAGCUGGCACUUCAUCCCCCUCUGCUGCCGGAUGGCACAGCAGCCCUGCAGCUCCGCAGCGAGUCAAGCCCAGCGUUGCAUCUCCCUGCCCUGGUCACGGCGAAGGGCUCCUGUGCCCAGCCCGGCAGGGCAGCGGCAUCAGGUGCUUGCAAAGGUUGCAUUUCACUCCGGGAGCCGAAAGCCGAGUUGUUGGGAGUGACCUGGGAACUCGGCUCGUUUGAGAGCCCAGCCUGCAGCCCCGGGACAGCAGCAGCUGUCUGUCCCUCCUCUGAGAGGCGGGGGCAUUUCUGGAGGGAGCGUCACCCUCCGAGGCAGAGGACAGAGCUUAUGAAGGCUCGGUGCUUCUGGACUCUGACCCGCCACAGGACGUGCAAUGGCCGUGGAAGUGGAAACACCGAUUUUCUUUAGUGCUGUAGUGUGAAGAAUGCAAAACGUGUUUGAAGAGACAGUGCUUUUGUGGCUCCAAGCCAAUUCUAGGGAUGUUCAAGCGUUUCCGGAAACGGGUGUUCUUGCAACAACCUUCUUGUGAAUUAAUGAGAAAAUAGGGUGGGAAAAAAAUCAGCACAUCAAGUAGCUGUGACACACAGCACGGAAAAGUCUCCACCGGCCACUCCACGCACAAGAAAAAGCCCGAUGGAAGGGCGGGGUGGCACAUCGGGGCCACCGGGCUGUCGGCAGCGGUUGUAGCGGCGGCAGCUCCAGGAGGCUGCCCGGCUGGAGAAGAAGGGACAGGGGGCGGGAAGAGUUUCUCGUCCAACUCUCUCUCGGGAGCAGCCAAACCGCGCGACUCCCGCUCGUUCCCGCGUUUACGGGAACACGGGGCGGGGCCGAGGAGCGACGGCUCCGCCAUCCGCUCGUCGGGGCUGCUGGGUCGGUCUUUGCGGGAGGCGGCUCUCCCGGUGCCCGGGCGGGGCUGCGCUGGGGUCCGUCUUGUGCCCGGCGGGCGGGCGGGCGGGGAGGGCGAGGCCGCUUGUGGGCACGCGUGGGUGCGCGGCCGGCGCCGCCGCUUGGCGGGCAGCUGGAGCGGGGGCAGCGGGUGUGUCCGCCGGGUCCGGCGGUGUCGGACGGUACGGAAAAAUGCCGUAGAAGAUGGUUGAGACUUUGCUGUAGUGUGAAGAAUGCAAAACGUGUUUGAAGAGACAGGGCUUUUGUGGCUCCAAGCCACUUCUAUGGAUGGUCAAGCGUUUCCAGAAAUCCUUCUUGCAACAGCCCUCUUGUGAGUCACAGACUUAGCCAAUGCUCACAAUCCUUAACACAAGCCCACGUGUAGCCAGGAGCAGGCUGAUGCAUUCUUCAGUUUAGCUUGAACAAACAGCCCUUGCGGGCUGGCAAAGGCAAGUCCCAGAGCUGCAGAGAGCAGCAGCAGGAAUGGAGGCCAAGCUUUGCCAGGUUCCUGAAGAGGGAGGACCUUGAGAAUGAGGCGCGGGACUGACCAUGCACCAAAGAAGAGCCCUGUUACGAAUUCCUGACCAAACCUGGGAAGAAGAAACAAAAUGCCAGAGAUGAGAUUACUGAAUGCAACAAGAAGACACAACAGAGAUGACGGAGGAAACCAGCAAGAGGGGAAGGAGAGGAGGAGCAGAGGACAGGUAAGCAAACAAGAUCCUUGAAUCUCACCCCAUCCGAGGAGUGAUAGAAGGGUUCCCAAAGCCCAGAUUCUGAAUAAAAAGCAUACCUCGUAAGCUUCUCUCUCCACGUCUCUAAUUUGCUGCUCGGCCUCAAGUCUGCUCUGACAGUAGGCCACAUUUCUCUGCCUCAUUUCAGCAUCUGGAUGCUUCAGAAGAAAUGUGUGAGCUGCUGCAAUAGCCUUUGCAAGGUUAUGAGCCUGAAGAGGGAUGGGAAAAAGAGGAAGAGGGGGAAAAGCGUUAACGGGGGAAAAAAAAAAAUCAAAGUUUCCCAGUUUUUGUUGACAAAUUUUCCUGCAGCUUCUAGAUUCCCAGCUUACUUGUACUGAAGCCACGGUCUCGGCAGAUACAAUUGUACACUAGAUCUGAUACAAUUCUUCUCAGUUUUACUAACAGAUGCAUAAUGAGGAAAUUCUUUUUAAUGUUAAAAUCUGUUAUUGUUGCAGAUAGCAUAGGUGAUGACUUGAAGCUAACAGAAGAGCAUUUUUCCCCUCCACUUGCCCUGUUCAUGAAGCUGACAAGGCAGAAGCAUAUACUGUUGCUCCUGUGUGGGAUUAGUCUCACAGCAAUUACUGAGGCCAGCCUGUGACUGCUGACCAGGAGCCAUCACUGCCCGUGUUUACACGGCGUUCGUGUCACUUCUUGGCCCAGCAGCACGCAAGACAAUAUCCCGAUAACGUAUCUGCCUGAUGGUGUUACAGAGUUCGAGCAAACGGCAGGGACCUGUGUGUGAUCUGCCGCAACAGCUUUUGGAAGGUCGUGAGCCUAAACAGGGGUGGGAAGAAGAGGAAAGGGAAAGGAAAAGUUAACUGGGAAAAAAAAAUCCACGUUUCCCACUUUCUGUCAACAAACUCUCCUGCAGCCUCUCUGUUCCCCAGCUGACAUCUAGGGAAGCCACAGUCUCAGCAGAUACAAUGUUACACUAGAACUGAUACAAAUCUUUCCUGUUUUCUUACUAGAGGAGCAUGUUUUCCUAGGAGCAUGUUUGUUUUAAUGUCAAAAUCUGUUAUUGUAGCAGAUCGCAUCAUAAUGAUUGUAAGUUCAAAAGACGACUUUUUCUCCCUUCCUCCCGUACUGCAUUUCUAGUAUUUACAGAGGGAGAGAGAAAGGAAAAGGCUGAAGUAUUUGUAAAAUGUUAAGAAACUCUUCCUUUUUUCAGGCAAGGUGCAGGUCCCACGGUGUCCUUUGGUCUCCGACGUUCUCCAGUGGCGUCCUGUGGUUUCCAGCGGCCUUCUUCAGUCUCCCACGGUCUCCUGCAAUCUCCGGCGGUCUCCAGCGGGCUUCUGUGUGCCUGCAUUUAUAGCUGUUAUUGUCUAUAUGUACAUAUUUUUCUAAACUCUAUUGUCCAUAGACACACGUAUCGGGAGAAGGAGGGAGAAAACCCAAGUCUUCAUUAUUUGCUGAAAUGUGAAAACCUUUUUCCUUUUUAAACCAAGACACAGAGCCAAUGGUGUCCUGUGGUUUCUAGCGGUGUCCUUCGGUCUCCGACGGUCUCCUGCGGUCUCCGGUGGUCUCGUGUGGGCUUCUGUGUGCACACAUUUAUCGAUUUAAUUUUCUAUUUUUACAUGUCUUUAUAAACUAUACAGUCUGCAUACACGUAUAUAGGGAGAAGGAGAGAAAAUUUGCCUGCGUUUUUAACGCAAACAUUUGUCCAAAGGUGUAAGAACCGUGUCUUUGAAUUCCCACAAUUCCUUCCAACAGACGUUUUAUUUACUUCAAAAGAACCACCUUCAGAGGAGGAAUCCCGCCACGGCACUAUGGGACGAGGAGCAGGAACAGAGGUGACACAGGACCCAUCUCACGUUUGUUUCCACAACUCUCCCCAAGCACAGGAUGUUUCGGAAAGAUGGACCCAAUUGGAAAUCACUCUGCGUGUGAAAUUGGGACCAUGUUUUUGAAACACCCUGUAGUAUUGCUGGAGACACAUCCCCUGGUCCCUCUGCUUCCAAAUUUGCAUGAAGCCUUGUGUCGAGUCCCCAGCUCCAUUCAAGAGAGUCUGGUUAGGCACUGGCAAAACCAGUGUUCGUCCUGUACCAUGUAUGAAUCAAAAUUUGUCGCACACCAUUUUCCCCUUGUAAAAGAAAGGAAAACGAAUAUCCAAAAAAUCCCCAAACGUAUGAAAAUGACCAACCGUACAUCAGUAAAAAGAAAUCAAUAAUUCAAUAAAGAACACUGAUGGUCAACAGAAAACGAAGGGACAAUCCACCGGGUGCUGAUCCAGUGCUCUUUCCCGUGCUGUACUCUUUGCAUUUCACUAGUGGCUUCGCGGUUGUUCCUGUCACCUGCCUGCGCUGACUGGCACAGUCCCUGUCACUGCCCCAGCUGGCACUUCAUCCCCCUCUGCUGCCGGAUGGCACAGCAGCCCUGCAGCUCCGCAGCGAGUCAAGCCCAGCGUUGCAUCUCCCUGCCCUGGUCACGGCGAAGGGCUCCUGUGCCCAGCCCGGCAGGGCAGCGGCAUCAGGUGCUUGCAAAGGUUGCAUUUCACUCCGGGAGCCGAAAGCCGAGUUGUUGGGAGUGACCUGGGAACUCGGCUCGUUUGAGAGCCCAGCCUGCAGCCCCGGGACAGCAGCAGCUGUCUGUCCCUCCUCUGAGAGGCGGGGGCAUUUCUGGAGGGAGCGUCACCCUCCGAGGCAGAGGACAGAGCUUAUGAAGGCUCGGUGCUUCUGGACUCUGACCCGCCACAGGACGUGCAAUGGCCGUGGAAGUGGAAACACCGAUUUUCAUUAGUGCUGUAGUGUGAAGAAUGCAAAACGUGUUUGAAGAGACAGUGCUUUUGUGGCUCCAAGCCAAUUCUAGGGAUGUUCAAGCGUUUCCGGAAACGGGUGUUCUUGCAACAACCUUCUUGUGAAUUAAUGAGAAAAUAGGGUGGGAAAAAAAUCAGCACAUCAAGUAGCUGUGACACACAGCACGGAAAAGUCUCCACCGGCCAGCCCACGCACAAGAAAAAGCCCGAUGGAAGGGCGGGGUGGCACAUCGGGGCCACCGGGCUGUCGGCAGCGGUUGUAGCGGCGGCAGCUCCAGGAGGCUGCCCGGCUGGAGAAGAAGGGACAGGGGGCGGGAAGAGUUUCUCGUCCAACUCUCUCUCGGGAGCAGCCAAACCGCGCGACUCCCGCUCGUUCCCGCGUUUACGGGAACACGGGGCGGGGCCGAGGAGCGACGGCUCCGCCAUCCGCUCGUCGGGGCUGCUGGGUCGGUCUUUGCGGGAGGCGGCUCUCCCGGUGCCCGGGCGGGGCUGCGCUGGGGUCCGUCUUGUGCCCGGCGGGCGGGCGGGCGGGGAGGGCGAGGCCGCUUGUGGGCACGCGUGGGUGCGCGGCCGGCGCCGCCGCUUGGCGGGCAGCUGGAGCGGGGGCAGCGGGUGUGUCCGCCGGGUCCGGCGGUGUCGGACGGUACGGAAAAAUGCCGUAGAAGAUGGUUGAGACUUUGCUGUAGUGUGAAGAAUGCAAAACGUGUUUGAAGAGACAGGGCUUUUGUGGCUCCAAGCCACUUCUAUGGAUGGUCAAGCGUUUCCAGAAAUCCUUCUUGCAACAGCCCUCUUGUGAGUCACAGACUUAGCCAAUGCUCACAAUCCUUAACACAAGCCCACGUGUUGCCAGGAGCAGGCUGAUGCAUUCUUCAGUUUAGCUUGAACAAACAGCCCUUGCGGGCUGGCAAAGGCAAGUCCCAGAGCUGCAGAGAGCAGCAGCAGGAAUGGAGGCCAAGCUUUGCCAGGUUCCUGAAGAGGGAGAACCUUGAGAAUGAGGCGCGGGACUGACCAUGCACCAAAGAAGAGGUAUGUGGUACUGUGGGAUCUUUUCCAAAGCAUCACAUGUAGCGAUGGCGAGCAGAUGUUUUGCCUUGCACACCUUGUUUGGCUGCUGUGCUUCUUGGGCAGGGUGCACGAGAAGCGCUCUGGUCCCUGCCAGGCGCUGGUGUUGCCCGCAGGGAGAGGUGCCGAGCGGCAGCUGCGAAUCCUUCCUGUUCCUGACAGGACACCAGUGGCUGCUCCAAAGCACUGGGUCCCCAUGCAACAUCUCUGCGUGCUGCUUCCUACAUCUGCCUUCUUGGUCUGUAACUUGUUUGGGUUUUGCUUGUUUCUUUCUACCUUGUUUGGUGUUCUGUUUUUGUUGUUGAUGUUGUUUCCAUUGUUGUUUUGGUUUUGUUGGGUUUUGCUAAGUUGGUUUCAUUUGGUUGGUUUAGGUCAGUUAAUACGAGUUGGUUUUGGUAGGCUUUUUGAGCCUGGUUGUUUGACACCGUAUGACGUUGUUGGUAGGUUGUGUGUUGGUAGGUCACUGAAGGCCGGUUGUUUUAGGUUAAGGUUUGUUAAGUUUGGUUCAGGUUGGCGGUCUUAGAUUGCUUGUUUCAGGUUUGAUGGUUGAGCUUGGUUUCGGUUGGUUAGUUUAGGUGGGUUGGUUUAGGCUGUGUGAUGUGAUUUUCUUACCGCUGAUGUGUGUUGUUUAGCUUCGGAGGUUUAUUUUUCUUGGUUUUGCUGGGUUCUUUGGUUGGUGCUGUUUUCUGGUGCUUCUUUAGCACUGGUUGCCUUAGUUUGGUUGAGGUUUCUGGUUUUACGAGCUUGGUUCAGCUUGUUGCGGUCGUUUGAGGUUGGUUUGAGGCAGGUUCUUUGAGGGUGAUUGUGAGAGGCUGGUUGUCGAAGGCUGGUGGGUUCAGGUUGCUUGAUGUAGGUGAUAUUUGGUUGAAGGUGUCUUCCGUUGGUUGUUGUAGGUGGCGUAUGUGAAGCUGUUUUCGUUGAGGCCGUUUUCAGUAGUUUGGUUUAGGUUUGUUCAGAUGACUUUAAGUUGAGACAUGGUCGGCUGGUUGGUUAUUUUAGGUUGUUUGUUUUCAGUAGGCAGUUUAGGUGGGUUGGUGGGUGUCUGUGUUUUGAGGUAGGUUGGUUUCGGCAGGUUUGGUUUACACUGUUUAAGUUGUUUGAAGGGUUUCUGUUGAGGUUGGUUCAGGUUGUUUGGUUUAGGUUGGUUUAUUUCCUUUUUGGUAGGUUGUUUUAGGCAGUGUUAUUUACGUUGCAUGUUUUGAAGGUGGGUUCCUUCAGGUUGGGGUGGUUUAGAUUGGUUGUUGAGGGUGCUAUAGGUGCUUUGGCUAGAUUUACAUUGUGUUUUGUUGGUUUUAGGUUGUGUCUGGAUGGUUUGGAUGUGACUGCAAUCUCGCUGGGACAUGCGUCCCCCCACUAAUCACCAGGCUCGAUGGGGCUGUUUGUGCUGUUGCAGCAGAUGUCCCCGUCCUCCUUCCCUGCUCCACGUGUUUCCCUGCCUUGCUCAAAGAGGACGACCUUCCCCGCUAGAGGCGAACCAUUGCUAGGUCAAGGGGAUACGGUAGCUGCGCUGUGCUUGAGAACCUCCAAACAAGCUCAGGGUCCAUUUGUAGGAGAACCUGGGGUAGUCAAGCUUCCAAGACUGCAGACACAUCCAAGUGAGACACUGCAUGGGGUAGGGUGGCUGGUGGUUGGAGUUUGGUUGUUGAGGUUUUUUAGGGGGUUUUAGCUUAGUUGUUGAAGUUUAGUUGAUUUAGAUUGGGUUUGAGCUUGGCGAUUGUAGGAUGGUUUCAGUGGUUCUAUUUGGCUUUGGGUUGUUUGCUUGAGGUCAUUUUGGUCAGGUGAUGUCUUUUGGUUUCCUGUUUUUGAGGUUGGUUUAGAUGGGUUGUUUUAGGUAGUUUUAUCCUUUAUCAGAUUGUUUUGAAGUUGUCUGAGAUUGUUUAAUGGUUGUUUUAGGUUAAGAUUGGUUGGUUUUGGUUUGUUUAGCUUGUUUGGUUACAGGUCGCUUAAGGUUGGCUGAGAAAUGCCGGUUUAUGUAGUUUUAGAUUGUUUUAGGUAGGAUUUUUUAGAUCAUUUGGUUUUGGGUAGGUUUGUUUUAGGGUGUUUUGGUUGGUUUCUUUUGUUUGGUUUAGGUAAUUUGUUGUAGAUUGUUUAAGGUUCUGCUUAGGUUGUUGGUGGCUGAUUGAAGUUUUUUAAGGCAGACUGGUUUAGGUUGUUUAAGAUUGGUUUAGGUGAGUUGUUCUGUGCUGGUUUAGGUAGGCUGUUCUAGCUAAGUUUAGGGCCACCUCGUGGAGCAGCAGGCGCCCAGCCCAAAUGGCCCAAAGAAGCCGUGGCAAGGGGCCGUGCUCAGCGCUGCAGAGGAAGGCGAAAAACCCCCGGAGACGCUUGCUGUCCCACCUGGGGGGGAAAAAAAGCCUUCCUCCCCCCAGCUGCGGGGCACGAGAGGCCAUCUUCCUGGUGCUUGAGCAGCAGGCAGGAACCGAGCCAAAAGGGCCCAGAGGAGCUCUGCAAAGUGGUCAUGCUCAAUGCUGCAGAGGAAGGCAAAAAACCCCCGGGGACCAGUGCCAAUCUGCCCCGGGGGAAAAAAUUCCUUCCUGACCCCAGUGCUGGCGAUCGGCUGUUCCCUGAGCAUGUGAGCCAGACCUGGCUCCUCGUCCCACAGGCUGCUCACGCCUCCCAGGACCUGCCUAAGCCCUAGCCUAUCCUACCCUGUCCUACCUUGAGCCGGAGCCAUCUCCCGGACUGCCGAGAGUGCCCAAGUGCCUGGUGGGACACCAGUGGGUGUUGCAAGCACAGAAGAAAUUCCCUUGGUCUCUCCACCGCUACCCAGUUGAAAAGGAUUUCCAUCCGUGAGCUGAGCUUGGAAGGUGGCCCUGCCAGCAGAUCACCUUGCAGUGGAGAACCUCCAGCAGCCUCAUGCAAGCUCUUCCUCCCUCAGCCCCUGCCCUGUGAUUCCACCAGCUCCUCAAGUGCUUCCUGUGGGAUGUGUUGGGGCUGCCCCCCGGGCCAGCUCUGGCAGUGGACAGGGGACCCGGCUGCUCCUUUUGGUCCUGCUCGGGGCAUUGUGAGCGCUGAAUUGCCGGGUGCUGGCAUUGUGACACGGGGGUGACAGAGCCACGCGUGUGCAGCCCCGCCCACCCCAACUCCGCCCAGCACCUUUGGGAGGAAGCCUUUGGGGUGCUGGCCCCAAAUCAGUCCCUGUCAUCUACAAGACAGGGGAGUAAUCAACCUAACCGUGUCCCUCUUUUGCCAAAACACAGUGUGGAUUUGUUGCCAGUCCAGCCUUACUUCCAGUACUUCUUCCUGCAGCCCUGUUACGAAUUCCUGACCAAACCUGGGAAGAAGAAACAAAAUGCCAGAGAUGAGAUUACUGAAUGCAACAAGAAGACACAACAGAGAUGACGGAGGAAACCAGCAAGAGGGGAAGGAGAGGAGGAGCAGAGGACAUGCAAGGUGCAGGUCCCACGGUGUCCUUUGGUCUCCGACGUUCUCCAGUGGCGUCCUGUGGUUUCCAGCGGCCUUCUUCAGUCUCCCACGGUCUCCAGCGGGCUUCUCUGUGCCUGCAUUUAUAGCUGUUAUUGUCUAUAUGUACAUAUUUUUCUAAACUCUAUUGUCCAUAGACACACGUAUAGGGAGAAGGAGGGAGAAAACCCAAGUCUUCAUUAUUUGCUGAAAUGUGAAAACCUUUUUCCUUUUUAAACCAAGACACAGAGCCAAUGGUGUCCUGUGGUUUCUAGCGGUGUCCUUCGGUCUCCGACGGUCUCCUGCGGUCUCCGGUGGUCUCGUGUGGGCUUCUGUGUGCACACAUUUAUCGAUUUAAUUUUCUAUUUUUACAUGUCUUUAUAAACUAUACAGUCUGCAUACACGUAUAUAGGGAGAAGGAGAGAAAAUUUGCCUCCGUUUUUAACGCAAACAUUUGUCCAAAGGUGUAAGAACCGUGUAUUUGAAUUCCCACAAUUCCUUCCAACAGACGUUUUAUUUACUUCAAAAGAACCACCUUCAGAGGAGGAAUCCCGCCACGGCACUAUGGGACGAGGAGCAGGAACAGAGGUGACACAGGACCCAUCUCACGUUUGUUUCCACAACUCUCCCCAAGCACAGGAUGUUUCGGAAAGAUGGACCCAAUUGGAAAUCACUCUGCGUGUGAAAUUGGGACCAUGUUUUUGAAACACCCUGUAGUAUUGCUGGAGACACAUCCCCUGGUCCCUCUGCUUCCAAAUUUGCAUGAAGCCUUGUGUCGAGUCCCCAGCUCCAUUCAAGAGAGUCUGGUUAGGCACUGGCAAAACCAGUGUUCGUCCUGUACCAUGUAUGAAUCAAAAUUUGUCGCACACCAUUUUCCCCUUGUAAAAGAAAGGCAAACGAAUAUCCAAAAAAUCCCCAAACGUAUGAAAAUGACCAACCGUACAUCAGUAAAAAGAAAUCAAUAAUUCAAUAAAGAACACUGAUGGUCAACAGAAAACGAAGGGACAAUCCACCGGGUGCUGAUCCAGUGCUCUUUCCCGUGCUGUACUCUUUGCAUUUCACUAGUGGCUUCGCGGUUGUUCCUGUCACCUGCCUGCGCUGACUGGCACAGUCCCUGUCACUGCCCCAGCUGGCACUUCAUCCCCCUCUGCUGCCGGAUGGCACAGCAGCCCUGCAGCUCCGCAGCGAGUCAAGCCCAGCGUUGCAUCUCCCUGCCCUGGUCACGGCGAAGGGCUCCUGUGCCCAGCCCGGCAGGGCAGCGGCAUCAGGUGCUUGCAAAGGUUGCAUUUCACUCCGGGAGCCGAAAGCCGAGUUGUUGGGAGUGACCUGGGAACUCGGCUCGUUUGAGAGCCCAGCCUGCAGCCCCGGGACAGCAGCAGCUGUCUGUCCCUCCUCUGAGAGGCGGGGGCAUUUCUGGAGGGAGCGUCACCCUCCGAGGCAGAGGACAGAGCUUAUGAAGGCUCGGUGCUUCUGGACUCUGACCCGCCACAGGACGUGCAAUGGCCGUGGAAGUGGAAACACCGAUUUUCAUUAGUGCUGUAGUGUGAAGAAUGCAAAACGUGUUUGAAGAGACAGUGCUUUUUUGGCUCCAAGCCAAUUCUAGGGAUGUUCAAGCGUUUCCGGAAACGGGUGUUCUUGCAACAACCUUCUUGUGAAUUAAUGAGAAAAUAGGGUGGGAAAAAAAUCAGCACAUCAAGUAGCUGUGACACACAGCACGGAAAAGUCUCCACCGGCCAGCCCACGCACAAGAAAAAGCCCGAUGGAAGGGCGGGGUGGCACAUCGGGGCCACCGGGCUGUCGGCAGCGGUUGUAGCGGCGGCAGCUCCAGGGGGCUGCCCGGCUGGAGAAGAAGGGACAGGGGGCGGGAAGAGUUUCUCGUCCAACUCUCUCUCGGGAGCAGCCAAACCGCGCGACUCCCGCUCGUUCCCGCGUUUACGGGAACACGGGGCGGGGCCGAGGAGCGACGGCUCCGCCAUCCGCUCGUCGGGGCUGCUGGGUCGGUCUUUGCGGGAGGCGGCUCUCCCGGUGCCCGGGCGGGGCUGCGCUGGGGUCCGUCUUGUGCCCGGCGGGCGGGCGGGGAGGGCGAGGCCGCUUGUGGGCACGCGUGGGUGCGCGGCCGGCGCCGCCGCUUGGCGGGCAGCUGGAGCGGGGGCAGCGGGUGUGUCCGCCGGGUCCGGCGGUGUCGGACGGUACGGAAAAAUGCCGUAGAAGAUGGUUGAGACUUUGCUGUAGUGUGAAGAAUGCAAAACGUGUUUGAAGAGACAGGGCUUUUGUGGCUCCAAGCCACUUCUAUGGAUGGUCAAGCGUUUCCAGAAAUCCUUCUUGCAACAGCCCUCUUGUGAGUCACAGACUUAGCCAAUGCUCACAAUCCUUAACACAAGCCCACGUGUAGCCAGGAGCAGGCUGAUGCAUUCUUCAGUUUAGCUUGAACAAACAGCCCUUGCGGGCUGGCAAAGGCAAGUCCCAGAGCUGCAGAGAGCAGCAGCAGGAAUGGAGGCCAAGCUUUGCCAGGUUCCUGAAGAGGGAGGACCUUGAGAAUGAGGCGCGGGACUGACCAUGCACCAAAGAAGAGCCCUGUUACGAAUUCCUGACCAAACCUGGGAAGAAGAAACAAAAUGCCAGAGAUGAGAUGACUGAAUGCAACAAGAAGACACAGCAGAGAUGACGGAGGAAAACAGCAAGAGGGGAAGGAGAGGAGGAGCAGAGGACAGGUAAGCAAACAAGAUCCUUGAAUCUCACCCCAUCCGAGGAGUGAUAGAAGGGUUCCCAAAGCCCAGAUUCUGAAUAAAAAGCAUACCUCGUAAGCUUCUCUCUCCACGUCUCUAAUUUGCUGCUCGGCCUCAGGUCUGCUCUGACAGUAGGCCACACUUCUCUGCCUCAUUUCAGCAUCUGGAUGCUUCAGAAGAAAUGUGUGAGCUGCUGCAAUAGCCUUUGCAAGGUUAUGAGCCUGAAGAGGGAUGGGAAAAAGAGGAAGAGGGGGAAAAGCGUUAACGGGGGAAAAAAAAAAAUCAAAGUUUCCCAGUUUUUGUCAACAAAUUUUCCUGCAGCUUCUAGAUUCCCAGCUUACUUGUACUGAAGCCACGGUCUCGGCAGAUACAAUCGUACACUAGAUCUGAUACAAUUCUUCUCAGUUUUACUAACAGAUGCAUAAUGAGGAAAUUCUUUUUAAUGUUAAAAUCUGUUAUUGUUGCAGAUAGCAUAGGUGAUGACUUGAAGUUAACAGAAGAGCAUUUUUCCCCUCCACUUGCCCUGUUCAUGAAGCUGACAAGGCAGAAGCAUAUACUGUUGCUCCUGUGUGGGAUUAGUCUCACAGCAAUUACUGAGGCCAGCCUGUGACUGCUGACCAGGAGCCAUCACCGCCCGUGUUUACACGGCGUUCGUGUCACUUCUUGGCCCAGCAGCACGCAAGACAAUAUCCCGAUAACGUAUCUGCCUGAUGGUGUUACAGAGUUCGAGCAAACGGCAGGGACCUGUGUGUGAUCUGCCGCAACAGCUUUUGGAAGGUCGUGAGCCUAAACAGGGGUGGGAAGAAGAGGAAAGGGAAAGGAAAAGUUAACUGGGAAAAAAAAAUCCACGUUUCCCACUUUCUGUCAACAAACUCUCCUGCAGCCUCUCUGUUCCCCAGCUGACAUCUAGGGAAGCCACAGUCUCAGCAGAUACAAUGUUACACUAGAACUGAUACAAAUCUUUCCUGUUUUCUUACUAGAGGAGCAUGUUUUCCUAGGAGCAUGUUUGUUUUAAUGUCAAAAUCUGUUAUUGUAGCAGAUCGCAUCAUAAUGAUUGUAAGUUCAAAAGACGACUUUUUCUCCCUUCCUCCCGUACUGCAUUUCUAGUAUUUACAGAGGGAGAGAGAAAGGAAAAGGCUGAAGUAUUUGUAAAAUGUUAAGAAACUCUUCCUUUUUUCAGGCAAGGUGCAGGUCCCACGGUGUCCUUUGGUCUCCGACGUUCUCCAGUGGCGUCCUGUGGUUUCCAGCGGCCUUCUUCAGUCUCCCACGGUCUCCUGCAAUCUCCGGCGGUCUCCAGCGGGCUUCUGUGUGCAUGCAUUUAUAGCUGUUAUUGUCUGUAUGUACAUAUUUUUCUAAACUCUAUUGUCCAUAGACACACGUAUAGGGAGAAGGAGGGAGAAAACCCAAGUCUUCAUUAUUUGCUGAAAUGUGAAAACCUUUUUCCUUUUUAAACCAAGACACAGAGCCAAUGGUGUCCUGUGGUUUCUAGCGGUGUCCUUCGGUCUCCGACGGUCUCCUGCGGUCUCCGGUGGUCUCGUGUGGGCUUCUGUGUGCACACAUUUAUCGAUUUAAUUUUCUAUUUUUACAUGUCUUUAUAAACUAUACAGUCUGCAUACACGUAUAUAGGGAGAAGGAGAGAAAAUUUGCCUCCGUUUUUAACGCAAACAUUUGUCCAAAGGUGUAAGAACCGUGUCUUUGAAUUCCCACAAUUCCUUCCAACAGACGUUUUAUUUACUUCAAAAGAACCACCUUCAGAGGAGGAAUCCCGCCACGGCACUAUGGGACGAGGAGCAGGAACAGAGGUGACACAGGACCCAUCUCACGUUUGUUUCCACAACUCUCCCCAAGCACAGGAUGUUUCGGAAAGAUGGACCCAAUUGGAAAUCACUCUGCGUGUGAAAUUGGGACCAUGUUUUUGAAACACCCUGUAGUAUUGCUGGAGACACAUCCCCUGGUCCCUCUGCUUCCAAAUUUGCAUGAAGCCUUGUGUCGAGUCCCCAGCUCCAUUCAAGAGAGUCUGGUUAGGCACUGGCAAAACCAGUGUUCGUCCUGUACCAUGUAUGAAUCAAAAUUUGUCGCACACCAUUUUCCCCUUGUAAAAGAAAGGCAAACGAAUAUCCAAAAAAUCCCCAAACGUAUGAAAAUGACCAACCGUACAUCAGUAAAAAGAAAUCAAUAAUUCAAUAAAGAACACUGAUGGUCAACAGAAAACGAAGGGACAAUCCACCGGGUGCUGAUCCAGUGCUCUUUCCCGUGCUGUACUCUUUGCAUUUCACUAGUGGCUUCGCGGUUGUUCCUGUCACCUGCCUGCGCUGACUGGCACAGUCCCUGUCACUGCCCCAGCUGGCACUUCAUCCCCCUCUGCUGCCGGAUGGCACAGCAGCCCUGCAGCUCCGCAGCGAGUCAAGCCCAGCGUUGCAUCUCCCUGCCCUGGUCACGGCGAAGGGCUCCUGUGCCCAGCCCGGCAGGGCAGCGGCAUCAGGUGCUUGCAAAGGUUGCAUUUCACUCCGGGAGCCGAAAGCCGAGUUGUUGGGAGUGACCUGGGAACUCGGCUCGUUUGAGAGCCCAGCCUGCAGCCCCGGGACAGCAGCAGCUGUCUGUCCCUCCUCUGAGAGGCGGGGGCAUUUCUGGAGGGAGCGUCACCCUCCGAGGCAGAGGACAGAGCUUAUGAAGGCUCGGUGCUUCUGGACUCUGACCCGCCACAGGACGUGCAAUGGCCGUGGAAGUGGAAACACCGAUUUUCUUUAGUGCUGUAGUGUGAAGAAUGCAAAACGUGUUUGAAGAGACAGUGCUUUUUUGGCUCCAAGCCAAUUCUAGGGAUGUUCAAGCGUUUCCGGAAACGGGUGUUCUUGCAACAACCUUCUUGUGAAUUAAUGAGAAAAUAGGGUGGGAAAAAAAUCAGCACAUCAAGUAGCUGUGACACACAGCACGGAAAAGUCUCCACCGGCCAGCCCACGCACAAGAAAAAGCCCGAUGGAAGGGCGGGGUGGCACAUCGGGGCCACCGGGCUGUCGGCAGCGGUUGUAGCGGCGGCAGCUCCAGGAGGCUGCCCGGCUGGAGAAGAAGGGACAGGGGGCGGGAAGAGUUUCUCGUCCAACUCUCUCUCGGGAGCAGCCAAACCGCGCGACUCCCGCUCGUUCCCGCGUUUACGGGAACACGGGGCGGGGCCGAGGAGCGACGGCUCCGCCAUCCGCUCGUCGGGGCUGCUGGGUCGGUCUUUGCGGGAGGCGGCUCUCCCGGUGCCCGGGCGGGGCUGCGCUGGGGUCCGUCUUGUGCCCGGCGGGCGGGCGGGGAGGGCGAGGCCGCUUGUGGGCACGCGUGGGUGCGCGGCCGGCGCCGCCGCUUGGCGGGCAGCUGGAGCGGGGGCAGCGGGUGUGUCCGCCGGGUCCGGCGGUGUCGGACGGUACGGAAAAAUGCCGUAGAAGAUGGUUGAGACUUUGCUGUAGUGUGAAGAAUGCAAAACGUGUUUGAAGAGACAGGGCUUUUGUGGCUCCAAGCCACUUCUAUGGAUGGUCAAGCGUUUCCAGAAAUCCUUCUUGCAACAGCCCUCUUGUGAGUCACAGACUUAGCCAAUGCUCACAAUCCUUAACACAAGCCCACGUGUAGCCAGGAGCAGGCUGAUGCAUUCUUCAGUUUAGCUUGAACAAACAGCCCUUGCGGGCUGGCAAAGGCAAGUCCCAGAGCUGCAGAGAGCAGCAGCAGGAAUGGAGGCCAAGCUUUGCCAGGUUCCUGAAGAGGGAGGACCUUGAGAAUGAGGCGCGGGACUGACCAUGCACCAAAGAAGAGGUAUGUGGUACUGUGGGAUCUUUUCCAAAGCAUCACAUGUAGCGAUGGCGAGCAGAUGUUUUGCCUUGCACACCUUGUUUGGCUGCUGUGCUUCUUGGGCAGGGUGCACGAGAAGCGCUCUGGUCCCUGCCAGGCGCUGGUGUUGCCCGCAGGGAGAGGUGCCGAGCGGCAGCUGCGAAUCCUUCCUGUUCCUGACAGGACACCAGUGGCUGCUCCAAAGCACUGGGUCCCCAUGCAACAUCUCUGCGUGCUGCUUCCUACAUCUGCCUUCUUGGUCUGUAACUUGUUUGGGUUUUGCUUGUUUCUUUCUACCUUGUUUGGUGUUCUGUUUUUGUUGUUGAUGUUGUUUCCAUUGUUGUUUUGGUUUUGUUGGGUUUUGCUAAGUUGGUUUCAUUUGGUUGGUUUAGGUCAGCUAAUACGAGUUGGUUUUGGUAGGCUUUUUGAGCCUGGUUGUUUGACACCGUAUGACGUUGUUGGUAGGUUGUGUGUUGGUAGGUCACUGAAGGCCGGUUGUUUUAGGUUAAGGUUUGUUAAGUUUGGUUCAGGUUGGCGGUCUUAGAUUGCUUGUUUCAGGUUUGAUGGUUGAGCUUGGUUUCGGUUGGUUAGUUUAGGUGGGUUGGUUUAGGCUGUGUGAUGUGAUUUUCUUACCGCUGAUGUGUGUUGUUUAGCUUCGGAGGUUUAUUUUUCUUGGUUUUGCUGGGUUCUUUGGUUGGUGCUGUUUUCUGGUGCUUCUUUAGCACUGGUUGCGUUAAUUUGGUUGAGGUUUCUGGUUUUACGAGCUUGGUUCAGCUUGUUGCGGUCGUUUGAGGUUGGUUUGAGGCAGGUUCUUUGAGGGUGAUUGUGAGAGGCUGGUUGUCGAAGGCUGGUGGGUUCAUGUUGCUUGAUGUAGGUGAUAUUUGGUUGAAGGUGUCUUCCGUUGGUUGUUGUAGGUGGCGUAUGUGAAGCUGUUUUCGUUGAGGCCGUUUUCAGUAGAUUGGUUUAGGUUUGUUCAGAUGACUUUAAGUUGAGACAUGGUCGGCUGGUUGGUUAUUUUAGGUUGUUUGUUUUCAGUAGGCAGUUUAGGUGGGUUGGUGGGUGUCUGUGUUUUCAGGUAGGUUGGUUUCGGCAGGUUUGGUUUACACUGUUUAAGUUGUUUGAAGGGUUUCUGUUGAGGUUGGUUCAGGUUGUUUGGUUUAGGUUGGUUUAUUUCCUUUUUGGUAGGUUGUUUUAGGCAGUGUUAUUUACGUUGCAUGUUUUGAAGGUGGGUUCCUUCAGGUUGGGGUGGUUUAGAUUGGUUGUUGAGGGUGCUAUAGGUGCUUUGGCUAGAUUUACAUUGUGUUUUGUUGGUUUUAGGUUGUGUCUGGAUGGUUUGGAUGUGACUGCAAUCUCGCUGGGACAUGCGUCCCCCCACUAAUCACCAGGCUCGAUGGGGCUGUUUGUGCUGUUGCAGCAGAUGUCCCCGUCCUCCUUCCCUGCUCCACGUGUUUCCCUGCCUUGCUCAAAGAGGACGACCUUCCCCGCUAGAGGCGAACCAUUGCUAGGUCAAGGGGAUACGGUAGCUGCGCUGUGCUUGAGAACCUCCAAACAAGCUCAGGGUCCAUUUGUAGGAGAACCUGGGGUAGUCAAGCUUCCAAGACUGCAGACACAUCCAAGUGAGACACUGCAUGGGGUAGGGUGGCUGGUGGUUGGAGUUUGGUUGUUGAGGUUUUUUAGGGGGUUUUAGCUUAGUUGUUGAAGUUUAGUUGAUUUAGAUUGGGUUUGAGCUUGGCGAUUGUAGGAUGGUUUCAGUGGUUCUAUUUGGCUUUGGGUUGUUUGCUUGAGGUCAUUUUGGUCAGGUGAUGUCUUUUGGUUUCCUAUUUUUGAGGUUGGUUUAGAUGGGUUGUUUUAGGUAGUUUUAUCCUUUAUCAGAUUGUUUUGAAGUUGUUUGAGAUUGUUUAAUGGUUGUUUUAGGUUAAGAUUGGUUGGUUUUGGUUUGUUUAGCUUGUUUGGUUACAGGUCGCUUAAGGUUGGCUGAGAAAUGCCGGUUUAUGUAGUUUUAGAUUGUUUUAGGUAGGAUUUUUUAGAUCAUUUGGUUUUGGGUACGUUUGUUUUAGGGAGUUUUGGUUGGUUUCUUUUGUUUGGUUUAGGUAAUUUGUUGUAGAUUGUUUAAGGUUCUGCUUAGGUUGUUGGUGGCUGAUUGAAGUUUUUUAAGGCAGACUGGUUUAGGUUGUUUAAGAUUGGUUUAGGUGAGUUGUUCUGUGCUGGUUUAGGUAGGCUGUUCUAGCUAAGUUUAGGGCCACCUCGUGGAGCAGCAGGCGCCCAGCCCAAAAGGCCCAAAGAAGCCGUGGCAAGGGGCCGUGCUCAGCGCUGCAGAGGAAGGCGAAAAACCCCCGGAGACGCUUGCUGUCCCACCUGGGGGGGAAAAAAAGCCUUCCUCCCCCCAGCUGCGGGGCACGAGAGGCCAUCUUCCUGGUGCUUGAGCAGCAGGCAGGAACCGAGCCAAAAGGGCCCAGAGGAGCUGUGCAAAGUGGUCAUGCUCAAUGCUGCAGAGGAAGGCAAAAAACCCCCGGGGACCAGUGCCAAUCUGCCCCGGGGGAAAAAAUUCCUUCCUGACCCCAGUGCUGGCGAUCGGCUGUUCCCUGAGCAUGUGAGCCAGACCUGGCUCCUUGUCCCACAGGCUGCUCACGCCCCCCAGGACCUGCCCAAGCCCUAGCCUAUCCUACCCUGUCCUACCUUGAGCCGGAGCCAUCUCCCGGACUUCCGAGAGUGCCCAGAUGCCUCUGAGCUGAUGGACCUUGGGGGCAAGACUCCUUCCUGUGCCUGGUGGGACACCAGUGGGUGUUCCAAGCACAGAAGAAAUUCCCUUGGUCUCUCCGCCGCUACCCAGUUGAAAAGGAUUUCCAUCCGUGAGCUGAGCUUGGAAGGUGGCCCUGCCAGCAGAUCACCUUGCAGUGGAGAACCUCCAGCAGCCUCAUGCAAGCUCUUCCUCCCUCAGCCCCUGCCCUGUGAUUCCACCAGCUCCUCAAGUGCUUCCUGUGGGAUGUGUUGGGGCUGCCCCCGGGCCAGCUCUGGCAGUGGACAGGGGACCCGGCUGCUCCUUUUGGUCCUGCUCGGGGCAUUGUGAGCGCUGCAUUGCCGGGUGCUGGCAUUGUGACACGGGGGUGACAGAGCCACGCGUGUGCAGCCCCACCCACCCCAACUCCGCCCAGCACCCUAUGGAGGAAGCCUUUGGGGUGCUGGCCCCAAAUCAGUCCCUGUCAUCUACAAGACAGGGGAGUAAUCAACCUAACCGUGUCCCUCUUUUGCCAAAACACAGUGUGGAUUUGUUGCCAGUCCAGCCUUACUUCCAGUACUUCUUCCUGCAGCCCUGUUACGAAUUCCUGACCAAACCUGGGAAGAAGAAACAAAAUGCCAGAGAUGAGAUUACUGAAUGCAACAAGAAGACACAACAGAGAUGACGGAGGAAACCAGCAAGAGGGGAAGGAGAGGAGGAGCAGAGGACAGGUAAGCAAACAAGAUCCUUGAAUCUCACCCCAUCCGAGGAGUGAUAGAAGGGUUCCCAAAGCCCAGAUUCUGAAUAAAAAGCAUACCUCGUAAGCUUCUCUCUCCACGUCUCUAAUUUGCUGCUCGGCCUCAGGUCUGCUCUGACAGUAGGCCACACUUCUCUGCCUCAUUUCAGCAUCUGGAUGCUUCAGAAGAAAUGUGUGAGCUGCUGCAAUAGCCUUUGCAAGGUUAUGAGCCUGAAGAGGGAUGGGAAAAAGAGGAAGAGGGGGAAAAGCGUUAACGGGGGAAAAAAAAAAAUCAAAGUUUCCCAGUUUUUGUCAACAAAUUUUCCUGCAGCUUCUAGAUUCCCAGCUUACUUGUACUGAAGCCACGGUCUCGGCAGAUACAAUCGUACACUAGAUCUGAUACAAUUCUUCUCAGUUUUACUAACAGAUGCAUAAUGAGGAAAUUCUUUUUAAUGUUAAAAUCUGUUAUUGUUGCAGAUAGCAUAGGUGAUGACUUGAAGUUAACAGAAGAGCAUUUUUCCCCUCCACUUGCCCUGUUCAUGAAGCUGACAAGGCAGAAGCAUAUACUGUUGCUCCUGUGUGGGAUUAGUCUCACAGCAAUUACUGAGGCCAGCCUGUGACUGCUGACCAGGAGCCAUCACCGCCCGUGUUUACACGGCGUUCGUGUCACUUCUUGGCCCAGCAGCACGCAAGACAAUAUCCCGAUAACGUAUCUGCCUGAUGGUGUUACAGAGUUCGAGCAAACGGCAGGGACCUGUGUGUGAUCUGCCGCAACAGCUUUUGGAAGGUCGUGAGCCUAAACAGGGGUGGGAAGAAGAGGAAAGGGAAAGGAAAAGUUAACUGGGAAAAAAAAAUCCACGUUUCCCACUUUCUGUCAACAAACUCUCCUGCAGCCUCUCUGUUCCCCAGCUGACAUCUAGGGAAGCCACAGUCUCAGCAGAUACAAUGUUACACUAGAACUGAUACAAAUCUUUCCUGUUUUCUUACUAGAGGAGCAUGUUUUCCUAGGAGCAUGUUUGUUUUAAUGUCAAAAUCUGUUAUUGUAGCAGAUCGCAUCAUAAUGAUUGUAAGUUCAAAAGACGACUUUUUCUCCCUUCCUCCCGUACUGCAUUUCUAGUAUUUACAGAGGGAGAGAGAAAGGAAAAGGCUGAAGUAUUUGUAAAAUGUUAAGAAACUCUUCCUUUUUUCAGGCAAGGUGCAGGUCCCACGGUGUCCUUUGGUCUCCGACGUUCUCCAGUGGCGUCCUGUGGUUUCCAGCGGCCUUCUUCAGUCUCCCACGGUCUCCUGCAAUCUCCGGCGGUCUCCAGCGGGCUUCUGUGUGCAUGCAUUUAUAGCUGUUAUUGUCUGUAUGUACAUAUUUUUCUAAACUCUAUUGUCCAUAGACACACGUAUAGGGAGAAGGAGGGAGAAAACCCAAGUCUUCAUUAUUUGCUGAAAUGUGAAAACCUUUUUCCUUUUUAAACCAAGACACAGAGCCAAUGGUGUCCUGUGGUUUCUAGCGGUGUCCUUCGGUCUCCGACGGUCUCCUGCGGUCUCCGGUGGUCUCGUGUGGGCUUCUGUGUGCACACAUUUAUCGAUUUAAUUUUCUAUUUUUACAUGUCUUUAUAAACUAUACAGUCUGCAUACACGUAUAUAGGGAGAAGGAGAGAAAAUUUGCCUCCGUUUUUAACGCAAACAUUUGUCCAAAGGUGUAAGAACCGUGUCUUUGAAUUCCCACAAUUCCUUCCAACAGACGUUUUAUUUACUUCAAAAGAACCACCUUCAGAGGAGGAAUCCCGCCACGGCACUAUGGGACGAGGAGCAGGAACAGAGGUGACACAGGACCCAUCUCACGUUUGUUUCCACAACUCUCCCCAAGCACAGGAUGUUUCGGAAAGAUGGACCCAAUUGGAAAUCACUCUGCGUGUGAAAUUGGGACCAUGUUUUUGAAACACCCUGUAGUAUUGCUGGAGACACAUCCCCUGGUCCCUCUGCUUCCAAAUUUGCAUGAAGCCUUGUGUCGAGUCCCCAGCUCCAUUCAAGAGAGUCUGGUUAGGCACUGGCAAAACCAGUGUUCGUCCUGUACCAUGUAUGAAUCAAAAUUUGUCGCACACCAUUUUCCCCUUGUAAAAGAAAGGCAAACGAAUAUCCAAAAAAUCCCCAAACGUAUGAAAAUGACCAACCGUACAUCAGUAAAAAGAAAUCAAUAAUUCAAUAAAGAACACUGAUGGUCAACAGAAAACGAAGGGACAAUCCACCGGGUGCUGAUCCAGUGCUCUUUCCCGUGCUGUACUCUUUGCAUUUCACUAGUGGCUUCGCGGUUGUUCCUGUCACCUGCCUGCGCUGACUGGCACAGUCCCUGUCACUGCCCCAGCUGGCACUUCAUCCCCCUCUGCUGCCGGAUGGCACAGCAGCCCUGCAGCUCCGCAGCGAGUCAAGCCCAGCGUUGCAUCUCCCUGCCCUGGUCACGGCGAAGGGCUCCUGUGCCCAGCCCGGCAGGGCAGCGGCAUCAGGUGCUUGCAAAGGUUGCAUUUCACUCCGGGAGCCGAAAGCCGAGUUGUUGGGAGUGACCUGGGAACUCGGCUCGUUUGAGAGCCCAGCCUGCAGCCCCGGGACAGCAGCAGCUGUCUGUCCCUCCUCUGAGAGGCGGGGGCAUUUCUGGAGGGAGCGUCACCCUCCGAGGCAGAGGACAGAGCUUAUGAAGGCUCGGUGCUUCUGGACUCUGACCCGCCACAGGACGUGCAAUGGCCGUGGAAGUGGAAACACCGAUUUUCUUUAGUGCUGUAGUGUGGAGAAUGCAAAACGUGUUUGAAGAGACAGUGCUUUUGUGGCUCCAAGCCAAUUCUAGGGAUGUUCAAGCGUUUCCGGAAACGGGUGUUCUUGCAACAACCUUCUUGUGAAUUAAUGAGAAAAUAGGGUGGGAAAAAAAUCAGCACAUCAAGUAGCUGUGACACACAGCACGGAAAAGUCUCCACCGGCCAGCCCACGCACAAGAAAAAGCCCGAUGGAAGGGCGGGGUGGCACAUCGGGGCCACCGGGCUGUCGGCAGCGGUUGUAGCGGCGGCAGCUCCAGGAGGCUGCCCGGCUGGAGAAGAAGGGACAGGGGGCGGGAAGAGUUUCUCGUCCAACUCUCUCUCGGGAGCAGCCAAACCGCGCGACUCCCGCUCGUUCCCGCGUUUACGGGAACACGGGGCGGGGCCGAGGAGCGACGGCUCCGCCAUCCGCUCGUCGGGGCUGCUGGGUCGGUCUUUGCGGGAGGCGGCUCUCCCGGUGCCCGGGCGGGGCUGCGCUGGGGUCCGUCUUGUGCCCGGCGGGCGGGCGGGCGGGGAGGGCGAGGCCGCUUGUGGGCACGCGUGGGUGCGCGGCCGGCGCCGCCGCUUGGCGGGCAGCUGGAGCGGGGGCAGCGGGUGUGUCCGCCGGGUCCGGCGGUGUCGGACGGUACGGAAAAAUGCCGUAGAAGAUGGUUGAGACUUUGCUGUAGUGUGAAGAAUGCAAAACGUGUUUGAAGAGACAGGGCUUUUGUGGCUCCAAGCCACUUCUAUGGAUGGUCAAGCGUUUCCAGAAAUCCUUCUUGCAACAGCCCUCUUGUGAGUCACAGACUUAGCCAAUGCUCACAAUCCUUAACACAAGCCCACGUGUAGCCAGGAGCAGGCUGAUGCAUUCUUCAGUUUAGCUUGAACAAACAGCCCUUGCGGGCUGGCAAAGGCAAGUCCCAGAGCUGCAGAGAGCAGCAGCAGGAAUGGAGGCCAAGCUUUGCCAGGUUCCUGAAGAGGGAGGACCUUGAGAAUGAGGCGCGGGACUGACCAUGCACCAAAGAAGAGCCCUGUUACGAAUUCCUGACCAAACCUGGGAAGAAGAAACAAAAUGCCAGAGAUGAGAUGACUGAAUGCAACAAGAAGACACAGCAGAGAUGACGGAGGAAAACAGCAAGAGGGGAAGGAGAGGAGGAGCAGAGGACAGGUAAGCAAACAAGAUCCUUGAAUCUCACCCCAUCCGAGGAGUGAUAGAAGGGUUCCCAAAGCCCAGAUUCUGAAUAAAAAGCAUACCUCGUAAGCUUCUCUCUCCACGUCUCUAAUUUGCUGCUCGGCCUCAGGUCUGCUCUGACAGUAGGCCACACUUCUCUGCCUCAUUUCAGCAUCUGGAUGCUUCAGAAGAAAUGUGUGAGCUGCUGCAAUAGCCUUUGCAAGGUUAUGAGCCUGAAGAGGGAUGGGAAAAAGAGGAAGAGGGGGAAAAGCGUUAACGGGGGAAAAAAAAAAAUCAAAGUUUCCCAGUUUUUGUCAACAAAUUUUCCUGCAGCUUCUAGAUUCCCAGCUUACUUGUACUGAAGCCACGGUCUCGGCAGAUACAAUCGUACACUAGAUCUGAUACAAUUCUUCUCAGUUUUACUAACAGAUGCAUAAUGAGGAAAUUCUUUUUAAUGUUAAAAUCUGUUAUUGUUGCAGAUAGCAUAGGUGAUGACUUGAAGUUAACAGAAGAGCAUUUUUCCCCUCCACUUGCCCUGUUCAUGAAGCUGACAAGGCAGAAGCAUAUACUGUUGCUCCUGUGUGGGAUUAGUCUCACAGCAAUUACUGAGGCCAGCCUGUGACUGCUGACCAGGAGCCAUCACCGCCCGUGUUUACACGGCGUUCGUGUCACUUCUUGGCCCAGCAGCACGCAAGACAAUAUCCCGAUAACGUAUCUGCCUGAUGGUGUUACAGAGUUCGAGCAAACGGCAGGGACCUGUGUGUGAUCUGCCGCAACAGCUUUUGGAAGGUCGUGAGCCUAAACAGGGGUGGGAAGAAGAGGAAAGGGAAAGGAAAAGUUAACUGGGAAAAAAAAUCCACGUUUCCCACUUUCUGUCAACAAACUCUCCUGCAGCCUCUCUGUUCCCCAGCUGACAUCUAGGGAAGCCACAGUCUCAGCAGAUACAAUGUUACACUAGAACUGAUACAAAUCUUUCCUGUUUUCUUACUAGAGGAGCAUGUUUUCCUAGGAGCAUGUUUGUUUUCAUGUCAAAAUCUGUUAUUGUAGCAGAUCGCAUCAUAAUGAUUGUAAGUUCAAAAGACGACUUUUUCUCCCUUCCUCCCGUACUGCAUUUCUAGUAUUUACAGAGGGAGAGAGAAAGGAAAAGGCUGAAGUAUUUGUAAAAUGUUAAGAAACUCUUCCUUUUUUCAGGCAAGGUGCAGGUCCCACGGUGUCCUUUGGUCUCCGACGUUCUCCAGUGGCGUCCUGUGGUUUCCAGCGGCCUUCUUCAGUCUCCCACGGUCUCCUGCAAUCUCCGGCGGUCUCCAGCGGGCUUCUGUGUGCAUGCAUUUAUAGCUGUUAUUGUCUGUAUGUACAUAUUUUUCUAAACUCUAUUGUCCAUAGACACACGUAUAGGGAGAAGGAGGAGAAAACCCAAGUCUUCAUUAUUUGCUGAAAUGUGAAAACCUUUUUCCUUUUUAAACCAAGACACAGAGCCAAUGGUGUCCUGUGGUUUCUAGCGGUGUCCUUCGGUCUCCGACGGUCUCCUGCGGUCUCCGGUGGUCUCGUGUGGGCUUCUGUGUGCACACAUUUAUCGAUUUAAUUUUCUAUUUUUACAUGUCUUUAUAAACUAUACAGUCUGCAUACACGUAUAUAGGGAGAAGGAGAGAAAAUUUGCCUCCGUUUUUAACGCAAACAUUUGUCCAAAGGUGUAAGAACCGUGUCUUUGAAUUCCCACAAUUCCUUCCAACAGACGUUUUAUUUACUUCAAAAGAACCACCUUCAGAGGAGGAAUCCCGCCACGGCACUAUGGGACGAGGAGCAGGAACAGAGGUGACACAGGACCCAUCUCACGUUUGUUUCCACAACUCUCCCCAAGCACAGGAUGUUUCGAAAGAUGGACCCAAUUGGAAAUCACUCUGCGUGUGAAAUUGGGACCAUGUUUUUGAAACACCCUGUAGUAUUGCUGGAGACACAUCCCCUGGUCCCUCUGCUUCCAAAUUUGCAUGAAGCCUUGUGUCGAGUCCCCAGCUCCAUUCAAGAGAGUCUGGUUAGGCACUGGCAAAACCAGUGUUCGUCCUGUACCAUGUAUGAAUCAAAAAAUUUGUCGCACACCAUUUUCCCCUUGUAAAAGAAAGGCAAACGAAUAUCCAAAAAAUCCCCAAACGUAUGAAAAUGACCAACCGUACAUCAGUAAAAAGAAAUCAAUAAUUCAAUAAAGAACACUGAUGGUCAACAGAAAACGAAGGGACAAUCCACCGGGUGCUGAUCCAGUGCUCUUUCCCGUGCUGUACUCUUUGCAUUUCACUAGUGGCUUCGCGGUUGUUCCUGUCACCUGCCUGCGCUGACUGGCACAGUCCCUGUCACUGCCCCAGCUGGCACUUCAUCCCCCUCUGCUGCCGGAUGGCACAGCAGCCCUGCAGCUCCGCAGCGAGUCAAGCCCAGCGUUGCAUCUCCCUGCCCUGGUCACGGCGAAGGGCUCCUGUGCCCAGCCCGGCAGGGCAGCGGCAUCAGGUGCUUGCAAAGGUUGCAUUUCACUCCGGGAGCCGAAAGCCGAGUUGUUGGGAGUGACCUGGGAACUCGGCUCGUUUGAGAGCCCAGCCUGCAGCCCCGGGACAGCAGCAGCUGUCUGUCCCUCCUCUGAGAGGCGGGGGCAUUUCUGGAGGGAGCGUCACCCUCCGAGGCAGAGGACAGAGCUUAUGAAGGCUCGGUGCUUCUGGACUCUGACCCGCCACAGGACGUGCAAUGGCCGUGGAAGUGGAAACAUCGAUUUUCUUUAGUGCUGUAGUGUGAAGAAUGCAAAACGUGUUUGAAGAGACAGUGCUUUUUUGGCUCCAAGCCAAUUCUAGGGAUGUUCAAGCGUUUCCGGAAACGGGUGUUCUUGCAACAACCUUCUUGUGAAUUAAUGAGAAAAUAGGGUGUGAAAAAAAUCAGCACAUCAAGUAGCUGUGACACACAGCACGGAAAAGUCUCCACCGGCCAGCCCACGCACAAGAAAAAGCCCGAUGGAAGGGCGGGGUGGCACAUCGGGGCCACCGGGCUGUCGGCAGCGGUUGUAGCGGCGGCAGCUCCAGGAGGCUGCCCGGCUGGAGAAGAAGGGACAGGGGGCGGGAAGAGUUUCUCGUCCAACUCUCUCUCGGGAGCAGCCAAACCGCGCGACUCCCGCUCGUUCCCGCGUUUACGGGAACACGGGGCGGGGCCGAGGAGCGACGGCUCCGCCAUCCGCUCGUCGGGGCUGCUGGGUCGGUCUUUGCGGGAGGCGGCUCUCCCGGUGCCCGGGCGGGGCUGCGCUGGGGUCCGUCUUGUGCCCGGCGGGCGGGCGGGGAGGGCGAGGCCGCUUGUGGGCACGCGUGGGUGCGCGGCCGGCGCCGCCGCUUGGCGGGCAGCUGGAGCGGGGGCAGCGGGUGUGUCCGCCGGGUCCGGCGGUGUCGGACGGUACGGAAAAAUGCCGUAGAAGAUGGUUGAGACUUUGCUGUAGUGUGAAGAAUGCAAAACGUGUUUGAAGAGACAGGGCUUUUGUGGCUCCAAGCCACUUCUAUGGAUGGUCAAGCGUUUCCAGAAAUCCUUCUUGCAACAGCCCUCUUGUGAGUCACAGACUUAGCCAAUGCUCACAAUCCUUAACACAAGCCCACGUGUAGCCAGGAGCAGGCUGAUGCAUUCUUCAGUUUAGCUUGAACAAACAGCCCUUGCGGGCUGGCAAAGGCAAGUCCCAGAGCUGCAGAGAGCAGCAGCAGGAAUGGAGGCCAAGCUUUGCCAGGUUCCUGAAGAGGGAGGACCUUGAGAAUGAGGCGCGGGACUGACCAUGCACCAAAGAAGAGCCCUGUUACGAAUUCCUGACCAAACCUGGGAAGAAGAAACAAAAUGCCAGAGAUGAGAUGACUGAAUGCAACAAGAACACACAGCAGAGAUGACGGAGGAAAACAGCAAGAGGGGAAGGAGAGGAGGAGCAGAGGACAGGUAAGCAAACAAGAUCCUUGAAUCUCACCCCAUCCGAGGAGUGAUAGAAGGGUUCCCAAAGCCCAGAUUCUGAAUAAAAAGCAUACCUCGUAAGCUUCUCUCUCCACGUCUCUAAUUUGCUGCUCGGCCUCAGGUCUGCUCUGACAGUAGGCCACACUUCUCUGCCUCAUUUCAGCAUCUGGAUGCUUCAGAAGAAAUGUGUGAGCUGCUGCAAUAGCCUUUGCAAGGUUAUGAGCCUGAAGAGGGAUGGGAAAAAGAGGAAGAGGGGGAAAAGCGUUAACGGGGGAAAAAAAAAAAUCAAAGUUUCCCAGUUUUUGUCAACAAAUUUUCCUGCAGCUUCUAGAUUCCCAGCUUACUUGUACUGAAGCCACGGUCUCGGCAGAUACAAUCGUACACUAGAUCUGAUACAAUUCUUCUCAGUUUUACUAACAGAUGCAUAAUGAGGAAAUUCUUUUUAAUGUUAAAAUCUGUUAUUGUUGCAGAUAGCAUAGGUGAUGACUUGAAGUUAACAGAAGAGCAUUUUUCCCCUCCACUUGCCCUGUUCAUGAAGCUGACAAGGCAGAAGCAUAUACUGUUGCUCCUGUGUGGGAUUAGUCUCACAGCAAUUACUGAGGCCAGCCUGUGACUGCUGACCAGGAGCCAUCACCGCCCGUGUUUACACGGCGUUCGUGUCACUUCUUGGCCCAGCAGCACGCAAGACAAUAUCCCGAUAACGUAUCUGCCUGAUGGUGUUACAGAGUUCGAGCAAACGGCAGGGACCUGUGUGUGAUCUGCCGCAACAGCUUUUGGAAGGUCGUGAGCCUAAACAGGGGUGGGAAGAAGAGGAAAGGGAAAGGAAAAGUUAACUGGGAAAAAAAAAUCCACGUUUCCCACUUUCUGUCAACAAACUCUCCUGCAGCCUCUCUGUUCCCCAGCUGACAUCUAGGGAAGCCACAGUCUCAGCAGAUACAAUGUUACACUAGAACUGAUACAAAUCUUUCCUGUUUUCUUACUAGAGGAGCAUGUUUUCCUAGGAGCAUGUUUGUUUUAAUGUCAAAAUCUGUUAUUGUAGCAGAUCGCAUCAUAAUGAUUGUAAGUUCAAAAGACGACUUUUUCUCCCUUCCUCCCGUACUGCAUUUCUAGUAUUUACAGAGGGAGAGAGAAAGGAAAAGGCUGAAGUAUUUGUAAAAUGUUAAGAAACUCUUCCUUUUUUCAGGCAAGGUGCAGGUCCCACGGUGUCCUUUGGUCUCCGACGUUCUCCAGUGGCGUCCUGUGGUUUCCAGCGGCCUUCUUCAGUCUCCCACGGUCUCCUGCAAUCUCCGGCGGUCUCCAGCGGGCUUCUGUGUGCCUGCAUUUAUAGCUGUUAUUGUCUAUAUGUACAUAUUUUUCUAAACUCUAUUGUCUAUAGACACACGUAUCGGGAGAAGGAGGGAGAAAACCCAAGUCUUCAUUAUUUGCUGAAAUGUGAAAACCUUUUUCCUUUUUAAACCAAGACACAGAGCCAAUGGUGUCCUGUGGUUUCUAGCGGUGUCCUUCGGUCUCCGACGGUCUCCUGCGGUCUCCGGUGGUCUCGUGUGGGCUUCUGUGUGCACACAUUUAUCGAUUUAAUUUUCUAUUUUUACAUGUCUUUAUAAACUAUACAGUCUGCAUACACGUAUAUAGGGAGAAGGAGAGAAAAUUUGCCUCCGUUUUUAACGCAAACAUUUGUCCAAAGGUGUAAGAACCGUGUCUUUGAAUUCCCACAAUUCCUUCCAACAGACGUUUUAUUUACUUCAAAAGAACCACCUUCAGAGGAGGAAUCCCGCCACGGCACUAUGGGACGAGGAGCAGGAACAGAGGUGACACAGGACCCAUCUCACGUUUGUUUCCACAACUCUCCCCAAGCACAGGAUGUUUCGGAAAGAUGGACCCAAUUGGAAAUCACUCUGCGUGUGAAAUUGGGACCAUGUUUUUGAAACACCCUGUAGUAUUGCUGGAGACACAUCCCCUGGUCCCUCUGCUUCCAAAUUUGCAUGAAGCCUUGUGUCGAGUCCCCAGCUCCAUUCAAGAGAGUCUGGUUAGGCACUGGCAAAACCAGUGUUCGUCCUGUACCAUGUAUGAAUCAAAAUUUGUCGCACACCAUUUUCCCCUUGUAAAAGAAAGGCAAACGAAUAUCCAAAAAAUCCCCAAACGUAUGAAAAUGACCAACCGUACAUCAGUAAAAAGAAAUCAAUAAUUCAAUAAAGAACACUGAUGGUCAACAGAAAACGAAGGGACAAUCCACCGGGUGCUGAUCCAGUGCUCUUUCCCGUGCUGUACUCUUUGCAUUUCACUAGUGGCUUCGCGGUUGUUCCUGUCACCUGCCUGCGCUGACUGGCACAGUCCCUGUCACUGCCCCAGCUGGCACUUCAUCCCCCUCUGCUGCCGGAUGGCACAGCAGCCCUGCAGCUCCGCAGCGAGUCAAGCCCAGCGUUGCAUCUCCCUGCCCUGGUCACGGCGAAGGGCUCCUGUGCCCAGCCCGGCAGGGCAGCGGCAUCAGGUGCUUGCAAAGGUUGCAUUUCACUCCGGGAGCCGAAAGCCGAGUUGUUGGGAGUGACCUGGGAACUCGGCUCGUUUGAGAGCCCAGCCUGCAGCCCCGGGACAGCAGCAGCUGUCUGUCCCUCCUCUGAGAGGCGGGGGCAUUUCUGGAGGGAGCGUCACCCUCCGAGGCAGAGGACAGAGCUUAUGAAGGCUCGGUGCUUCUGGACUCUGACCCGCCACAGGACGUGCAAUGGCCGUGGAAGUGGAAACACCGAUUUUCUUUAGUGCUGUAGUGUGAAGAAUGCAAAACGUGUUUGAAGAGACAGUGCUUUUUUGGCUCCAAGCCAAUUCUAGGGAUGUUCAAGCGUUUCCGGAAACGGGUGUUCUUGCAACAACCUUCUUGUGAAUUAAUGAGAAAAUAGGGUGGGAAAAAAAUCAGCACAUCAAGUAGCUGUGACACACAGCACGGAAAAGUCUCCACCGGCCAGCCCACGCACAAGAAAAAGCCCGAUGGAAGGGCGGGGUGGCACAUCGGGGCCACCGGGCUGUCGGCAGCGGUUGUAGCGGCGGCAGCUCCAGGAGGCUGCCCGGCUGGAGAAGAAGGGACAGGGGGCGGGAAGAGUUUCUCGUCCAACUCUCUCUCGGGAGCAGCCAAACCGCGCGACUCCCGCUCGUUCCCGCGUUUACGGGAACACGGGGCGGGGCCGAGGAGCGACGGCUCCGCCAUCCGCUCGUCGGGGCUGCUGGGUCGGUCUUUGCGGGAGGCGGCUCUCCCGGUGCCCGGGCGGGGCUGCGCUGGGGUCCGUCUUGUGCCCGGCGGGCGGGCGGGGAGGGCGAGGCCGCUUGUGGGCACGCGUGGGUGCGCGGCCGGCGCCGCCGCUUGGCGGGCAGCUGGAGCGGGGGCAGCGGGUGUGUCCGCCGGGUCCGGCGGUGUCGGACGGUACGGAAAAAUGCCGUAGAAGAUGGUUGAGACUUUGCUGUAGUGUGAAGAAUGCAAAACGUGUUUGAAGAGACAGGGCUUUUGUGGCUCCAAGCCACUUCUAUGGAUGGUCAAGCGUUUCCAGAAAUCCUUCUUGCAACAGCCCUCUUGUGAGUCACAGACUUAGCCAAUGCUCACAAUCCUUAACACAAGCCCACGUGUAGCCAGGAGCAGGCUGAUGCAUUCUUCAGUUUAGCUUGAACAAACAGCCCUUGCGGGCUGGCAAAGGCAAGUCCCAGAGCUGCAGAGAGCAGCAGCAGGAAUGGAGGCCAAGCUUUGCCAGGUUCCUGAAGAGGGAGGACCUUGAGAAUGAGGCGCGGGACUGACCAUGCACCAAAGAAGAGCCCUGUUACGAAUUCCUGACCAAACCUGGGAAGAAGAAACAAAAUGCCAGAGAUGAGAUGACUGAAUGCAACAAGAAGACACAGCAGAGAUGACGGAGGAAAACAGCAAGAGGGGAAGGAGAGGAGGAGCAGAGGACAGGUAAGCAAACAAGAUCCUUGAAUCUCACCCCAUCCGAGGAGUGAUAGAAGGGUUCCCAAAGCCCAGAUUCUGAAUAAAAAGCAUACCUCGUAAGCUUCUCUCUCCACGUCUCUAAUUUGCUGCUCGGCCUCAGGUCUGCUCUGACAGUAGGCCACACUUCUCUGCCUCAUUUCAGCAUCUGGAUGCUUCAGAAGAAAUGUGUGAGCUGCUGCAAUAGCCUUUGCAAGGUUAUGAGCCUGAAGAGGGAUGGGAAAAAGAGGAAGAGGGGGAAAAGCGUUAACGGGGGAAAAAAAAAAAUCAAAGUUUCCCAGUUUUUGUCAACAAAUUUUCCUGCAGCUUCUAGAUUCCCAGCUUACUUGUACUGAAGCCACGGUCUCGGCAGAUACAAUCGUACACUAGAUCUGAUACAAUUCUUCUCAGUUUUACUAACAGAUGCAUAAUGAGGAAAUUCUUUUUAAUGUUAAAAUCUGUUAUUGUUGCAGAUAGCAUAGGUGAUGACUUGAAGUUAACAGAAGAGCAUUUUUCCCCUCCACUUGCCCUGUUCAUGAAGCUGACAAGGCAGAAGCAUAUACUGUUGCUCCUGUGUGGGAUUAGUCUCACAGCAAUUACUGAGGCCAGCCUGUGACUGCUGACCAGGAGCCAUCACCGCCCGUGUUUACACGGCGUUCGUGUCACUUCUUGGCCCAGCAGCACGCAAGACAAUAUCCCGAUAACGUAUCUGCCUGAUGGUGUUACAGAGUUCGAGCAAACGGCAGGGACCUGUGUGUGAUCUGCCGCAACAGCUUUUGGAAGGUCGUGAGCCUAAACAGGGGUGGGAAGAAGAGGAAAGGGAAAGGAAAAGUUAACUGGGAAAAAAAAAUCCACGUUUCCCACUUUCUGUCAACAAACUCUCCUGCAGCCUCUCUGUUCCCCAGCUGACAUCUAGGGAAGCCACAGUCUCAGCAGAUACAAUGUUACACUAGAACUGAUACAAAUCUUUCCUGUUUUCUUACUAGAGGAGCAUGUUUUCCUAGGAGCAUGUUUGUUUUAAUGUCAAAAUCUGUUAUUGUAGCAGAUCGCAUCAUAAUGAUUGUAAGUUCAAAAGACGACUUUUUCUCCCUUCCUCCCGUACUGCAUUUCUAGUAUUUACAGAGGGAGAGAGAAAGGAAAAGGCUGAAGUAUUUGUAAAAUGUUAAGAAACUCUUCCUUUUUUCAGGCAAGGUGCAGGUCCCACGGUGUCCUUUGGUCUCCGACGUUCUCCAGUGGCGUCCUGUGGUUUCCAGCGGCCUUCUUCAGUCUCCCACGGUCUCCUGCAAUCUCCGGCGGUCUCCAGCGGGCUUCUGUGUGCAUGCAUUUAUAGCUGUUAUUGUCUGUAUGUACAUAUUUUUCUAAACUCUAUUGUCCAUAGACACACGUAUAGGGAGAAGGAGGGAGAAAACCCAAGUCUUCAUUAUUUGCUGAAAUGUGAAAACCUUUUUCCUUUUUAAACCAAGACACAGAGCCAA